UGUCAAGAGCUAUUUUUCCCAAAUUGAUUGAAAGAAAAGAAAAAAAAAAAAAAAAAAGGCUAAGUGAUUCCUAAGGAGAGAUGCUUCAAAGGAAAUUGUUGCUUGUUGGUUAAAAGUCCCUUUUCCUGACAAAGGGGAAGCUCGUAGAUGACUCCUGAGCAUGUAAAGCAGUUUUGUCUAAGUUACGUUUUAACUCUGAAAGAAAAUUUGAGAAUUUUUUAGGAAAAAAAAAUUAAAAUAUCCAAAAAACUAUUGUUCCAUGGAGCAGAACAAGAAUCUGAAUCUCAGAGGGGAGUCAUGUUAAGAUGACAGCUGAUCUUUCCAUCAGGAACUGGGAGCUUUUUGCCUCUACUCUAUCCUCACAUCCAGCAUCAUCAAUCACUGUAGCUCUUUUAAUCUAGUCCAUCUCCCUUCUCUCCUUUCCUACUGCUCUUAUCUAAAUCUUAUUAACUUCUCUCCCAGAAUAUUUUCAUGUGCUCCUGACCUAUCAUUUCUACACACAUACCAUAACCCAGCUUAAAAUUGCUUUCCCAACUAAAGUCGAGUUUCCAUUGUUUGCCAGCCAAGGGUGUCCCUAGUCUGUCUCUAGCACUAACUUUCCAGUUCUCUUCCCUUCAGUCAUUGUACCCUGCUUUCUCUCUUUUGUGCCUUUGACUGGAUUAUUACAUUCAGUUGAUCUUCUCUGCCACCUUUUCACGUUUGGACUUUGUCCUGCUCUUGAGGUGGACUUCCAAGGUCAGUUCCUCCAUAAUUGCCUCUGCAAGUAAAUGUGAUUUUGCCAACCCAUGAAAUGACACAUGUUAUUUAUACAGUUGUACUAAUGCUGGCACUGGAUGGAAGGAAAAAUAAAAUUUCCCUUACCCACUUAGAUUCUCCAGCAUAGGGCCCAGUAAAUUAGACUGGCCAGAGACAAGUUAAGAGGAAAAAAAAAAAAAAAGUUUAUAAGUAUUUGUAUCACAAAUGUACACAUGGGAGCACUUAACAAUGAGUAAUUCAGAGGGGUGAUUAGAACUUGAGUUUAUCUCAAGCUAAGCAAGGAAUUUUGGGCUUAUGAGCAAGGGAGGCAGUUAACAGAUUACAACCAGGGAGAGUACUGUAAACAAGAAUUGUUUAGUAAGGUUUGUAAUGCAUAUCUGAGACAGCUUUCUCCAUUGAUAAAGAGGGGUUAUGAUACUGGAGAGGGAACGUUUCUAUAAAGAGAAAUUUCCUUUACAAAUGUGAAUUUCCUUUAUAAAAGGUAACUUCUACCCAGUUUUUAGAAUUUUUCCUGCUUCUGCUGGUUCUCAGUGUACUUUAGUUCAAGAUAUUCUGUAUGCCAGAGAGGCAUAUUUUGGGGUGCAAUACCCUGGUACCCUCAGCAGACAUCAUUCAUUACUUUAUAUCUGGAAAAUCUAUCCAACAUUGCUAUAUUUGGAGUGUCCUAGCAGAUUAAACUUGGAAAUUUUUCCCUUCUUCCUUCAGCAAGAAAGAUGAUUUAAGCGGGCGAUAGGGGUGUAUAGAAAUGAAAAAAGAAAAGUCUGCCUGAGUGGCUGAGCUGGGGGUGGGUUCUGCAAUUACCCGUGCAUCAUUCCUACCUGUAGGAGACAUAUGCAUUUGGAAUCACUGAAAGCUGCUUUACUGAAGGAAGAUUGGUGGGACUGGUUGGCUCCAUUGUGCUUGGAAAGAAAGCAGAACAAAAGCUUAUAUGUUUCUUAGUUUAAAAUAAGGGGUGGGGGUGGCCAGAAUUGGGAGAGCUGGCUCUGAGCCCAGGAGUUUGCCAGUGCUCAUCCCAAUUCCUAACCCUGCCCCACCCCUCCCUGUGAAGCUGUUGAAGGGGAGAAUAAUACACCACCCCAAAACAUACCUCUCUAGCAUAAAGAUUAUUUUCAGCCAAUUAUUUUUGAGAAAUAGCAGACACAGGAGAACUUCUAAAAACAGAAGAGAAUUUGCCCUUUGGUGAGGUACAUUUACCUUUAUAAAGGAAAUCUUUCUUUGUAAGGGUGUCUCCUUCUAGGUUCCAGGAAGAGAAUAAGGACUCUCCAUCUCCAGAACUUCCUACCAAUGGAGCAGGCAACAGCUUAAACAUGCAUAGCAAGCCACAUCCUGUUACCAUGAUUUCCUGGAAACCUCCCAUAACUGGCCUCUUCUUCAAAGUCUCUCUUUUGUCUUUUGUUGGAGAUGGUAUUUAAGGUGGCACUUUUACUCAGUUUUUCUGGGUAUCUCCCAUGUGUACAGGAGGUAUACAUGUUGAUGAGAUAAAAGUCAUAUUUUAUGGUAAGAUUAGAAAAAUUUAAACACAAUUUUUCUUUGCCCGUUUGGGCCCCUUCUCCCACAUUUAGUGUAUAUCAUGCCUCUACAUUCAACAGACCUGCUUACAAGAUAAAUUCCUUCUUACUCUCAUCAAGGAUUACAACUCCUAGAAGAUAACCUUCCUUCUUAAUCUUAAAAGGGGCCAGGAUGACCCAUGACCCACUACUCGCUUCUCUGUAUAUGUAGAUCUGGAUUGUUAUGUAGAUCUGGAUUGUAUAAAGUGCCAAUGCAUCAUUUGAAGUAUAACCCUUUGUCUCAAAAACUUACAUGGCUGUACUUUGAUCUAUAAAUGGGCAAAACCGUCCUCAGAUCUUUCUGAAAGACCGUCUCAAAUGAAAUUUUCCAUUUCUUUCUUUAUUGCCUAUUGAUUUUUCCAUCAAUAAUACUAUUAAACUUAACCUAUGUUUGUUUUUCUCCUAUUAAUCUGUUUUUUACUAUGGGGACAGUGUCCUAUCCCAAACUAGAAGGGUAGAAGAAAAAUAUUUUUCUUUCCCCUAUGCUCCUGUGGCCUGUGAAGUGUAAGAAUCAUACCAAUGCACCUGUCUAUGCCCUUAACGGAGCACUCUGCAUAGCACCACAAAUCCCUGGUUGACCUUGAUCAGAAGCUUUAUGAAAGAAUCAAUCUUAGCAUAUCUGGGGAUCUCAGGUUCUGCACAUCAGAUCUGCCAAUCUGAGGCACUUAAUCAUUAACACAUUUGGACUGUGAGUCUGUUCUGGGUGUUUAGCUCCAGGGGCCUCUGAGAAGGGGGUUGUUUUGGAUUUGCUGCUACUUGUAAUAGGUAAGAGGGGUAUCAAUCAUAUUAUCCCAAGAUGGCUUGGAAACCAAUAGUAAAACCUCUGAAAUAAUUGAGGCAAGGGCCACCCCAGUUACAAUAAUGACCUGCUUGAGUAGAUGGUCUCUGUCUUGCUCAGAGUAGUCAACGGCACCUCGGACACCAGGUGUUACUGACUAGAAGUUAUAUAACUAUAUUAUUUUGUUGUCUUAGAUAUGCAAUUCAUCUUGUAUUUUUUUCCCUGACAGAUACAGAGUAUAAAUGGUUUUAUAUAAUAAGACAUAACAAAAUUCUUUGGAUGACUCUAAAACAUUACUUAUACAUUUAAUUUAAAAAUGUAUUAACUCCUGGAGACAGGAUUAAGACGGAAGAAUAGAAGGACUGGAGCUCACCUUCUUUCAUAAAAACAACAAAAUUACAACCAAAUGCUGAACAAACUUCAACCAAAUGAACUGGAAACUUUCAAGAAGAUCCUACUCCAGAACAUGAAGAGGAGCCACAUAAAGAGCAAGUAUUUUCUGCAUGACUACAAUGAGCAUGAUGACGAUACAAUGAUGAAUAUAGACACACAAAUCUCCUGCUCUCCUGGAACUUAUAAUCAGGUCAUAUUUCUGUGAAUUUUGGAAUGCCCAAUCUAUGCAGCAUUUUCCUUCAAGCCAACCAGAUAGAAUUUUUACAAAUUAAUGUUGACAAUACCACCUAGAGGUAGAAAAAUACCAUACCUACGAGCUUCACAUAUAGAUACACAUAAUCAUAUAGGCAGAUACAAAUAGAAAUAAUAUAGCUUUUAUUCUAAAAAGUUUAGCCAUGAGUCAAAUACCAUACAAAACUCACUAUUUUUAAGUCGGAUCCAAAUUGUUUUCUGGCAGAUGGAAUAAGUUUACCUGCUCACAUGGUUAAAACUUUCAAACUAAUAUUUGUGGAGAAAGCACUUAAGAUUUUUUUUUAUUUGCCCAAGUUCUAAAUAUUUCCCUUUUUUCCUCUUAAUAAGCAUGAUUUCUCUAGUUUGCAUUUCAAAGAAAUAGCUGUCAGCCCCUAGAGAAGACAAAGUAGACACAGAGAAAGUAUACAAGUUUUCUCCCAGAUGAAAAUUUGGGGGUAUCUGCAAGCAAAUCAGUAUGGAGAUUGGGGGAUUGGUAAGGAUAGGUAAACAGUGGAUUGCUUCUAGAGCUACAUUUCUGGGCUUGUAAAGAUUUUUAAGACAAAGGCAUUUGAUUCUAAUUCCUCAAGGGAUUGGAUUGUGGCCUGAAUUAUAACAGGGGACUGGCCUGCCCAUCCAAAUACAUUUAUCUUUAAUUUUCUUCUUUAUAUCAACAAGAUUUCUGGAAUUCUCAUCACGGCUCAGCGGAAACAAAUCUGACUAGCAUCCGUGAGGACACAGGUUUGAUCCGUGGCCUUGCAC